AGAGUUUGAUCCUGGCUCAGAUUGAACGCUGGCGGCAUGCCUAACACAUGCAAGUCGAACGGCAGCACAGGUAGCAAUACCGGGUGGCGAGUGGCGGACGGGUGAGUAAUGCAUCGGGAUCUACCCUGACGUGGGGGAUAACCUCGGGAAACCGGGACUAAUACCGCAUACGUCCUACGGGAGAAAGCGGGGGACCUUCGGGCCUCGCGCGGCAGGACGAACCGAUGUGCGAUUAGCUAGUUGGCGGGGUAAUGGCCCACCAAGGCGACGAUCGCUAGCUGGUCUGAGAGGAUGAUCAGCCACACUGGGACUGGGACACGGCCCAGACUCCUACGGGAGGCAGCAGUGGGGAAUAUUGGACAAUGGGCGCAAGCCUGAUCCAGCAAUGCCGCGUGUGUGGAGAAGGCCUUCGGGUUGUAAAGCACUUUUAUCAGGAGCGAAAUACUACCGGCCAAUACCCGGUGGGGCUGACGGUACCUGAGGAAUAAGCACCGGCUAACUUCGUGCCAGCAGCCGCGGUAAUACGAAGGGUGCAAGCGUUAAUCGGAAUUACUGGGCGUAAAGGGUGCGUAGGCGGUUCGUUAAGUCUGUUGUGAAAUCCCCGGGCUCAACCUGGGAAUGGCAAUGGAUACUGGCGGGCUAGAGUGUGUCAGAGGAUGGUGGAAUUCCCGGUGUAGCGGUGAAAUGCGUAGAGAUCGGGAGGAACAUCAGUGGCGAAAGCGGCCAUCUGGGACAACACUGACGCUGAAGCACGAAAGCGUGGGGAGCAAACAGGAUUAGAUACCCUGGUAGUCCACGCCCUAAACGAUGCGAACUGGAUGUUGGUCUCAACUCGGAGAUCAGUGUCGAAGCAAACGCGUUAAGUUCGCCGCCUGGGAGUACGGUCGCAGACUGAACUCAAAUGAAUUGACG
rnacentral:rRNA from 1 species